rnacentral:rRNA from 1 species
GGCGGCGUGCCUAAUACAUGCAAGUCGAGCGGAGUUGAUGGAGUGCUUGCACUCCUAAUACUCAGCGGCGGACGGGUGAGUAACACGUAGGUAACCUGCCUGUGAGACUGGGAUAACUACCGGAAACGGUAGCUAAUACCGGAUAAUACAUUUUCUCUCCUGAGGAAAUGUUGAAAGGCGGAGUAAUCUGUCACUUACAGAUGGACCUGCGGCGCAUUAGCUUGUUGGUGAGGUAACGGCUCACCAAGGCGACGAUGCGUAGCCGACCUGAGAGGGUGAACGGCCACACUGGGACUGAGACACGGCCCAGACUCCUACGGGAGGCAGCAGUAGGGAAUCUUCCGCAAUGGACGAAAGUCUGACGGAGCAACGCCGCGUGAGUGAUGAAGGUUUUCGGAUCGUAAAGCUCUGUUGCCAGGGAAGAAGAUUCAGGGAGAGUAACUGCUCUUGGAGUGACGGUACCUGAGAAGAAAGCCCCGGCUAACUACGUGCCAGCAGCCGCGGUAAUACGUAGGGGGCAAGCGUUGUCCGGAAUUAUUGGGCGUAAAGCGCGCGCAGGCGGUCAUUUAA